rnacentral:rRNA from 1 species
AUGAAGUGGCAGCCGUUCAUGUCCACGUUCGUGCUGAACAAGAUGUGUGAGCUCAUCUCUAGUGGAGUUAGGACUGACAAGGGCUUCAAGGAGGUGCACUUGAACACCGUUGCGAAACAGGUGUUCAAGUUCUGUGGGCAAGAGGUGUCUGCCACCCAGCACAUCUUCUCCUUCGGGCUAGCAACUGGGAAGCAUGCCAUGGGCUCGGGGGAGCCUCUUGGUUCUCCCAUGCCAGACUUUCCUGGGACCCCGGACGUCGAGGUCCUUGAUGGCCCUGACAAGCCCGCUGCGAAGCCCUUCGACAAGCCAUUUGACCCCGUCCAUGAUAGGAAGAGGAAGAGAGGAGGCCUGAUGGAGGAGGAGAUCAAUGUCUUUUGCAGCAUGACUGAGGCGGUGAAGGAGGUGGCAACAGCCAUCAGGGAGUGCAAGCCCCUGGACGUCCACCCUGACCUGUAUGGCGCUGUCAUGACCCAGGGUGGCUUCAGCGACGAGGCUCUCAUGGCAGCUCUCAACCACCUGCUUGACAACAAGGCCCAGGGUGUUGGGUUCGUUGCCAUGGACGGCGCUCACAGGGUGCUGUGGCUCAGGAGCUGA